rnacentral:rRNA from 1 species
UACAGAGGUCUCGAGCGUUUGUUCGGAUUCAUUGGGCGUAAAGGGUGCGUAGGUGGCGCUGUAAGUCGGGUGUGAAAUCCUGGGCUUACCCGGAACUGCAUUCGAUACUGCAGUGGCUUGAGGAUGGAGAGGAGACUGGGAAUUCAAUGGUGUAGCAGUGAAAUGCGUAGAGAUCAUGAGGAGACCAGUGGCGAAGGCGGGUCUCUGGAC